rnacentral:misc_RNA from 1 species
CCUGGAAGUGGUCCAUAUGGUGGUGGUCCACGUGGGCCACCCCGUGGGAUGGACAAUGUCCGAGGCAUUGACCACAGUUCUCUUCCUGCCUGUGGUUCUUGCUGCGGAUAAAUGCGGGUAUGCAACUUUUGAGAAUCUAUUAUUUGAGAUCUUGUUCUCUAAACACAUGUACUGAAUUGUAUGUAGAUUUCUGCACGUAUGCUUACAUUUUCAAAACUCGAAAGCGUGUUCAUAUGUCCCUUUCAUCCUAAAACAUGAAUAGAACUCAAGAUAGUUUUCUUAUUUUGUAUUUAUAUAUACGUCUGUGUGCUGACUAUGAAUCUGUGUUUAACGCGUUUAAUUCAUAGAUGUAAUGUAAUGGCUUAAGGUAUAUGAUAUGUUCCAAGAUAGAUUUAGUGGUCCAAACUAUGACAUAUGACCGCAGGUGUAGCUACAUUGGAGUUAGAGGGUUCGAUGAACUUGUUUCAUCGAAAAAUUAUACUAUUUAUGUACGA